rnacentral:rRNA from 1 species
AUUGAACGCUGGCGGCAGGCCUAACACAUGCAAGUCGAACGGUAACAGGAAGAAGCUUGCUUCUUUGCUGACGAGUGGCGGACGGGUGAGUAAUGUCUGGGAAACUGCCUGAUGGAGGGGGAUAACUACUGGAAACGGUAGCUAAUACCGCAUAACGUCGCAAGACCAAAGAGGGGGACCUUCGGGCCUCUUGCCAUCGGAUGUGCCCAGAUGGGAUUAGCUAGUAGGUGGGGUAACGGCUCACCUAGGCGACGAUCCCUAGCUGGUCUGAGAGGAUGACCAGGCAACACUGGACUGAGGCACGGUCCAGACUCCUACGGGAGGCAGCAGUGGGGAAUAUUGCACAAUGGGCGCAAGCCUGAUGCAGCCAUGCCGCGUGUAUGAAGAAGGCCUUCGGGUUGUAAAGUACUUUCAGCGGGGAGGAAGGGAGUAAAGUUAAUACCUUUGCUCAUUGACGUUACCCGCAGAAGAAGCACCGGCUAACUCCGUG